rfam:Geomicrobium sp. JCM 19039 DNA, contig: JCM19039.contig00009.
CCCAAACUACAACCGCACAGAAGAGGUUUUAAGUUCGAAGGUAGAACACCUCGGAUGGCGAGUCUUAGGAAAUCG